UCAUCCCGCACCUCGCGGCCACACAUGGCGGCGCAACGAACCAGCCAUCGCCGGCGCCUCCGUACAGCCCCCUCUCCUCCCUCUAACCCUCUCCGCCACCCGUACCAGCGCCCAUCGCUCCACUAACCUCCUCUCCUUGGCUCAUGGCUCGGCAGCCCGGCGCCCAAUGAUCCAGCGCGUGGCUGGGACGCCAUCCGCCUAAGAUCCGGCGCUCGUCUACAUGGUGCGUGGGUGCGUGGCCGGGCUGCGCCAUCUGCCUUAACUCCGGCGCAGGUCGAUCUUCACCCCUGCUCCGGCUCGUCCACCUCCCUGCUCAUCUGGCCCGAGGCUCCCGCGUUCCUUCACUGCUACAUCAUGCAAGCUGUGACCUUGACCGGUUCUCUGCUUGGAGCCACCUAGAUCAGCUCGUCCCCGGUCCCCUUCCCUGCAACCUCGACCGGAUCCUCUGCCUCCACCAUCUUGCCGCCACUACACCAACAGCAGCAAAAGAGAUGAUUUGAUGGGGGAUUUCAAAGUAGAAAUAGAUGUUCAGUCUUAAUUGAUGAUUGUACACCGCAGAAGACGUACAAAAGAGGCCUUUCACAAAAAAAGUGUACACAAGAGGCAAGACAUGGGAUUUCAUGGUGGGUCGAGACUUGUCAAUUUGCUGUUGAAUGUUGUAUUGUAGUUUCUCUUUUAUUGCUCAAAUGUAAGCUUGGGAUGUGAAGAGGCAAGGGCAUAGAAGUCUUUAUUGGAUGGUGUUAGUCCCAGUUAGGCACUAGUGGUAUUUUGGCUAGAAAAAACUGAAAUUAGUGCUAUAUUGGCAGUUGGUUUUCACUAGUGGUAUUUUGGCAAGUUCGGUUUUCA